UAGGGAAUCUUGCGCAAUGGACGAAAGUCUGACGCAGCGACGCCGCGUGUAGGACGAAGUCCUUCGGGAUGUAAACUACUGUCAGGGGCAACCAAGUUCUGAGGUGCCCCAGAGGAAGAGGCGGCUAACUCUGUGCCAGCAGCCGCGGUAAGACAGAGGUGCCAAGCGUUAGGCGGAAUCACUGGGCUUAAAGCGUGUGUAGGCGGAAUCGUAAGUACCUUGUGAAAUCCCACGGCUCAACCGUGGAACUGCUUGGUAUACUGCUUUUCUUGAGCCACUUAGGGGCUGUCGGAACAAACGGUGGAGCGGUGAAAUGCGUAGAUAUCGUUUGGAACGCCAAAGGUGAAAACAGACAGCUGGGAGUGUGCUGACGCUGAGACACGAAAGCCAGGGGAGCGAA
rnacentral:rRNA from 1 species